AACUGGGCCCGUAGCCAAAUUACAUUCGCUCCUAAUCGAUUCGAUCUCUACGUUCGCGAGCGACUGGUCGAUAAUGUUUAUAAUAACCUAGCCAAGAGGCAAUCUUUUUAGUUUUCGCUCAUUCUAUGCGCCAAGUCGGUAAAAAUUAAUUUUUGUCUGUGGUUCUCGUUCAAAACCGUCAAGAAACAUCAUCUGUCAGCUGUCAAGAGUGUCAAGUGAACAGCGAAUCUAAUUUUGGAGAAAAUAAUUGUUUUAUCGGUAAGCAAAUUAAAUAUGUUGGUAUUUGUUUAACUUAGUUUAUCACAAUUUCGUGAUAAAAUAACUCUAUAUAGUGUAAUAUUUGAAGAGUGCGUUGUUAAUUGCAUAUAAUUUUGACCUAAAGUUUAACAAUUUCAGACAGCCGUCGUCCCCGCAGCCCCAACCAAGGCGGCGACGCAGCCAGAGCGGGCAAGAGCGGCUCCGCGGGCUUUUCUUCCACGCUGAGAAGUCCUCGCCAAGUUGGCACGUACAGUCAGAGCUGCCGCUGCAAUGACGCCUUCAUGGCAGUUACCAGUGCUAAGGACGUGCACUGCUGGCUUACUUGACCAGAAGAGACAAUACUUUAAGUGUUAGUAUUGAUUCAAACCGUGAAGUGAAAUUGUGGACAGGUUUGCCCGAAUCAGUGUAACCUCAGUGAAUUCAUUUACUUCAUAGACUUCAAACAUUUUCGAAAUUAACAAAAGUCAAGCGGACAUUGAAUACAUAGAUAAGAUGCAUUAGAUAAGAUAAAAGCUGCCUGUGAAACCAAAACUAAUAAAUCAUAUUGUUACUUAA